CCGAAGGCCCCAGCGAGAUUUGAACUCGCGACCCCUGGUUUACAAGACCAGUGCUCUAACCCCUGAGCUAUGGAGCCCUCACCUGGGAGGUGCAUUCCUACUCCUGUCCUUAUAGAUAGAUGCAUAUUGUCAACCUAUUCGUGCACUAGGUAGAGCAGGAACCAGGCAGAUUCCAAGAUCUUCUCUUGUCCUGUUGCUUCCUGAAAUAUUCUGCUUUGAGUCGAGCCACCCUCAGACUGUCAUCUGGUCUUUAAUCCUGGUGACUGAAGAGGUGCCUCCCGCAAGUGCACGAAGGGACUGGGCCAGCGUUCACCGGAGCUGCAGGACACCAGGGGACCGGCCCCGAGGAGGUGCAGCGCCAGAGGACUACCGCCAGGCUUAGACCGCGCACGCCUCUCAAUGGAGCAAAGCUUUCGCCUCCUUUUCUGCAGCGAAGGCCUCUCUCAAAGAGAAGGAGCAAUUGGUGCAUUGGAGAACAACUUUAUCCCUUCCACAAGGGCACGCUGACACAUCUUCACUAUUACAAAAUAAUAAGAUUUGCAUUGUAAAGCUUCUUCAAGUCCUUGUCUGUAUAACCUGGUGAGCAAGAACAAGACCAUGCAUUUUACUUAAGAAAAACUUCACGGCUAUUCUCUACCGAAAACGCAGCCAGUCGUUACGUUCAUUACAUCCUGUUGGGUAAACGUAUGCAUGAUGAUGCUGACCUCCACUUUUUAAAGAAAUUGAUGAGCUGUUAAUUAGGAGAAUAACCCAUCUACGGCAGAUGUCCUUGAUCCGGGGUUGAGUCCACAAAGGCCUCCUUCACCAAGCUGUCCUAUGCACAGUAGGGCAAGCAGGGGUUUUGUGUGGCCUACGUGGACCUGUGUCUCCCGGUAUUCCCUGGCCACCCGCCUAAGACUUUCCGUGGUAGCCCUGUCCUCCACACCCUCAGGAGAGCCACAAGAUUCGUGUUUAAGACUGCAGGUUACUAUGUCACUUGCUGAGAGUUCCACAACCAUUUCCAGGAGACCUCCUUCUUUUGAAGUUAUCACCUCAGAAUCUACUGGAUUUGAUAUGGCAACCCUAUACUAUAAGGAAGAAGUUCUGUCAAUAUGUGACUUAGAUGUGGGGGAAGUUGGGAAGCCCAGAGGGCUUAGUCAGCUGGUAGCCAUCACACAAGAUGUGCCAUCUAUAGCCUAAUUAGCUUAGGAUCUGGCUGCCUGAGGAGCUGUGUCUUAGUUAGGGUUCUUGUAUCUGUGAUAAGUAUCUUAUUGUUUUAUUGCUUGAAGAGACACCUUGACCAGGCAACUUAAAGAAGGCUUGUUUACGGUUUCAGAGGGUGUAAGUCCAUGAACAUUAUGGUGAGGAGCACGGUAGCAGGUAGGCAGGCAUGGUGGUGGAACACCGAGAUCACGUCUGAUCUGUAAGUUACAGGAAGAAAGAAGGUGCAAGAAGGGCCCGAGUGGGCUUUUAAAGUCUCAAAGCCCACUCGCAAUGACACAGCUCCUCCAACAAGGCCAGGCCACACCUCCUAAUCCUUCCUAAACAGGUCACCAACUGGGGACCAACCAUUCAAACCAAUGAGCCUAUUCGGGCCAUUCUCCUUCAAACCACCAUAAUUAAACACCAUGACCAAAAUCAAACCAGGGAGGAAAAGACUUACUUCAUCUUACAGUUUAUAUUACAUCAUUCAGAAAAGAGCAGGAACUCAGGGCAGGAACCUGAGACCGGAACUGACGCAGAG
rnacentral:tRNA from 1 species